CCCUGGCGGCGAAGGGGACGCUGCAACGCGGAGCGGGAGCACGAGGAGGGAAGGGGCUUGGCAACGGGCCGCAAAGAGGCCGAGACCCCGGGAGUGCCGGCAGCGCUCUUUAGCACGCCUGGAGGCUCCUGCAGAGCCCCGGAACCGCCCGAACCUCCAGAAAUGCAGGCAGAGUGCACUCCCCAGGGGGUACAACUUUGGCAAUGAGGACUACAGAGGUCCGAGGAGAACCGGAGACCCGAGGAGCGUGAAGGCACUCUAUGACACCACUGCCUACAAACGCAGGGGCUGGAAUGCAGUGACAGGACACUGCUGGGAGGAAGGGCUCCCAGCGCCUCCGUGUGGGGCUGCCUCCACUCCCAGUACCGUGAGCGGGGACUAGGACGACCCUGGUAACUCAGCCACAGGAUAUCAGUUCUCAGAAUAGAAGAGAAGCCAGGUCUGGCAGCACCUGAUGAUGACAAAGUCUCACUCAGUUGCCCAGGCUGGAGUGCAGUGGUGCCAUCAUAGCUCACUGGAGACUUGACCUCCCAGGCUCAAGCAUUCCUCCCACCUCAGCCUCCCAAGCAGCUCGGACUACAGCAUUUCCAAUUAAUCUUGGAAUGAGAGCCGAGGGCAAGAAGCCAGCGGUGCCUGAGGGAUGGUAAAGAGACAACCGAUCCAGGGAAACAAAUGCCAGCAAGGGACCCCACAGCAAAGAGACAGACACUGUGAGCAACUCUCCUGUUACCAUGAGGCUUGCGAGGCGUGUGCACGGGUCUCCGCAUUGGCACCAUCUGCCAAUUCCUCAGGAGGACAGAACAAACCAGUGAGGCAUGAAGAUUAGAUUAUGUAACGCUCGAGGAUUGCUGUUUUCAAAGAGGAAACAAAUGGAACGAAUUGAUUUGCUUGUCAAAGUCAUGUCACUAAAGGAGAUCUAUUCCCUCCCAUUCUAAGAGGACCUCAUUAAAGAGUGGAAUGAUUUCACAGAUUCAGAAAAUGUGAGACCACAAUCCACUCCAUUCAUAGGAGCAAGUCCACUUUCCAGAGUCGCACUCACACAUUCUAUUCUGGUCCCCGGGCCUGAAAAAAUGUCUAUCCAGCUACAACCUAAAGGGUACUGACCUGGUGAGGGACAUAAUUGUCAGUUGCUAGCCAUAAGAUUCACAGCCAGAGGCCAGGCGUCAUGGCUCACGCCUGUAAUCCUAGCACUUUGGGAGGCCAAGGUGGGUGGAUCAUGUGAGGUCAGAAGUUCAAGACCAGCCUGGCCAACAUGAUGAAACCCCGUCUCUACUAAAAAUACAAAAAUGACCUGGGCGUGGUGGCACACACCUGUAACCCCAGCUACUCAGGAGGCUGGUGCACGAGAAUCACUUGAGCCCAAGAGGCAGAGGUUGCAGUGAGCCAAGAUCACACCACUGCACUCCAGCCUGGGCGACAGAGUGAGAUGCUGUCUCAAACAAAAUAAAAAUAAAAAAUCAGCA